rnacentral:rRNA from 1 species
GCUUAACACAUGCAAGUCGAGCGAGAAUCGUUUUGCUGAAGGCUUCGGUCUGAUGCAGAAUGAGGAAAGCGGCGAACGGGUGAGUAACGCGUGGGCAACCUGGCCUUAAGAAAAGGAUAGCCCCCGGAAACGGGGAGUAAUACUUUAUGAGAAUAGAAAAGGGCAUCCUAUUUGUAUUCAAAGCACAAGCGCUUAAGGAUGGGCCCGCGUAUCAUUAGCUAGUUGGUGAGAUAACAGCCCACCAAGGCAACGAUGAUUAGCCGGUCUGAUAGGGCGAACGGCCACAUUGGAACUGAGAGACGGUCCAAACUCCUACGGAAGGCAGCAGUGGGGAAUAUUGCGCAAUGGAGAAGAACUCUGACGCAGCAAUACCGCGUGAGCGAAGAAGGUCUUCGGAUCGUAAAGCUCUGUUAUCAGGUAAGAAGAAAAUGACGGUACCUGAUGAGCAAGUCCCGGCUAACUACGUGCCAGCAGCCGCCGUAA